AUCGCUUCUCGGCCUUUUGGCUAAGAUCAAGUGUAGUAUCUGUUCUUAUCAGUUUAAUAAGAAGGGGAAUGAAGGGUAGACAGGGGAACCAGGCCAAGAGUUUAAAAUCAUUUCAUGUUUUGUUGCUGAAGAGAAAUAUAAACUUAAAGAUCAGUUUGGCUUUCUGUUCUCUAACCUACAAUCCUUAUUGGCAGAACUAGUU
rnacentral:snRNA from 1 species